rnacentral:rRNA from 1 species
UACGUAGGGUGCAAGCGUUGUCCGGAAUUAUUGGGCGUAAAGAGCUCGUAGGCGGUUCGUCGCGUCGGCUGUGAAAACCUGAGGCUCAACCUCAGGCCUGCAGUCGAUACGGGCGGACUUGAGUACUGCAGGGGAGACUGGAAUUCCUGGUGUAGCGGUGAAAUGCGCAGAUAUCAGGAGGAACACCGGUGGCGAAGGCGGCUCUCUGGGACGGUACUGACGCUGAGACGCGAAAGCGUGGGGAGCGAACAGG